GGAACCAUAGCACAGCCGGGAGUGCGCUCGCUUCACGUGCGAGAGGUCAUGGGUUCGAGCCCCAUUGGUUCCA
rnacentral:tRNA from 1 species